AUGGACAAGCUCAUCAUAGGACAAGGUGCACUCAGAAGCCCGAGACACCUAUGCAUCGUUGUGGAAGUCAUGACUGAGCUGGAAAUCCAAGAGGGAGCUCUGCCGCGCCUCGAGUCCUUUCAACUGCUAUGUAAGGAUCUAAAUGGAUUUAGUGGCAUGACGGUCCAGUCCCUGCCACGUCCUAAGGAGGUCGGCCUCCAUGAUGGAGUGAGCGACGAAACAAAACACGAGUGGAAAGAAGCAGCAAAGAACCACCCCAGACGUCCCAAGCUUUUGUUUGUUGACACGAAACCGAUGAGGGGUGAGCCUGCUGCAGAAAUUAUCCAUCCAGCAACAGCUACCGAUACGGACAAAGAGGUUGAUGUUCAAAGUGAGACUGCUGUGGAAAUUAGCUUUGCAGCACCAGCUACUGAUACGACGGCUGAAGAGGUUGCUGUGGAAAGUGAGCCUGCCGCGGAGAUUAACCCUGCGGCAGCCACUGAUAUGACGACCGAAGAGGUUGAUGUGGAAACUGGACCUGCUGCGAAAAUAAGCCCUGCGGCACCACCUACUACUGCAAUGCUAUCAGUGACAACGCCGCCCGAUGCUGCUGAAGAAUCAGGUAAUUGA
rnacentral:rRNA from 1 species